UGGAAGACGAAACAGCGGCGUCUGAAGGCUCACUGUCAUUCACAAGUGGCUCCAGUCUGGUUUGGGGGUUCUGCCAUCCAAGUAAAGUUAUUCACAAGUGGCUCCAGUCUGGUUUGGGGGUCUACGCUUUCUCAUCCUGUCCUGCC